rnacentral:tRNA from 1 species
GCCUCUUUAGCUCAGUGGAUAGAGCACUGGUCUCGUAAACCAGGGGUCGUGAGUUCAAUCCUCACAGGAGGCA